GGCUGGCCCCUGGGGCUAGGGCUCUGGCACCCCUUUCCUCUUCCAGGGCUUCCUGCUUGAACCGGCAGGGGGCAGCAGCUGCCUUGUCCCUCCAUGGUCUGAUUGAGACAGUCUCUUGGGCCUGUGACUACUGGAUCCAUGAUUCUGUGACCAGAGCGUCCCCGUUUCAGGCACCUUUCAGCUGCGUGUUCCUGGGGUGGAAGAAUGAAAAGUGUUUUUGAAAAGAUAGCCUAACUGUCACACAUCACAAUAGAAAAGUGUGUUCCCAGCAAGAGACAGAACUUCCUCCAUGAACUAGGUGAGCUGCGAGGGAACUCCAUUUUAUAAACAUCCAGCCUGUCAGAGGUUCCGUCAUUACCGUAGUUCUGUGGUCGGCAUCCUGUCGGUCAGUCCCUCGCAGAUGCCCCCUUCUAACCUAUGGCAUCAUGGAUAGAACAGGUCCAAAUCUGGUAUAUAACAGCCAUCACAUGGCCUGCUCAGGAAUCAUUGCGAAAGGAUCAUUUGCAUAAGACUUCAGCAGGUUGGACAAGCAAAACCAACGCCCAAAGCUGGCUUUGCCAACAACAGCAUCCUGCCAGAACUGCCCUUCAGCAAGGAAGUACUCAGAAUUGAGAUGAAUCUGAGCAUAUCUUCCUGAGAAGAGUAGUCAUUUCCAGAAGAGGAACAAGAUUCACAAGUGCAGCACCAGCAUGCACCUGGCUCUGGUGAGAGCUCUCUGGCUACAUCGCAGUCUGGCUGACAGCAUCAUGCUGGACUCCCGUGCAAGAGGAAGCAGUCACGUGUUGACUUAGAGAAACUCAGAAGCCAGGUUUCCUCUCUGGUAACAAUUCACUGGCAAACUGGUGACAUCUUGAGGCCUCCCUUCCAAAUAGACUCAACAUCUCCUAAUAAGGCCACUCUGCCCUAAAACCACAAUGCUGUGAUUGCAGUAAUAGCAGCAGGCAGCACACCACCUGCAUUUUGGGCUCUGCAGAUGUCCCCCAGAUGUCUUUUAUACGGGGAGCAUUUUUCCCCUACCCAGGAUGCAAUCAAGAUUCAUGACUAAACAUGGCUCUUUAGUCAGUGCGUCUUUUGUCUAAAAUAGAUCUUUCCUUGCCUUUUUAC